CUGCUAUCAGAAUAGGACUAAGCCAUGCGAGUCAACGUAGCAAUACGUGGCAUACGGCUCAGUAACACGUAGUCAACAUGCCCAGAGGACGUGGAUAACCUCGGGAAACUGAGGAUAAACCGCGAUAGGUCAUAAUAUCUGGAAUGAUUUAUGAUUUAAAUCUAUAUGGCCUCUGGAUUGGACUGCGGCCGAUCAGGCUGUUGGUGAGGUAAUGGCCCACCAAACCUGAAACCGGUACGGGCUCUGAGAGGAGAAGCCCGGAGAUGGGCACUGAGACAAGGGCCCAGGCCCUAUGGGGCGCAGCAGGCGCGAAAACUCUGCAAUAAGCGAAAGCUUGACAGGGUUAUUCUGAGUGAUUUCCGCCAAGGAAAUCUUUUGGCACCUCUAAAAAUGGUGCAGAAUAAGGGGUGGGCAAGCCUGGUGUCAGCCGCCGCGGUAAUACCAGCACCCCGAGUGGUCGGGACGAUUAUUGGGCCUAAAGCAUCCGUAGCCGGUUCUACAAGUCUUCCGUUAAAUCCACCUGCUUAACAGAUGGGCUGCAGAGGAUACUAUAGAGCUAGGAGGCGGGAGAGGCAAGCGGUACUCAGUGGGUAGGGGUAAAAUCCGUUGAUCCACUGAAGACCACCAGUGGCGAAGGCGGCUUGCCAGAACGCGCUCGACGGUGAGGGAUGAAAGCUGGGGGAGCAAACCGGAUUAGAUACCCGGGUAGUCCCAGCUGUAAACGAUGCAGACUCGGUGAUGAACGGGCUUCGUGCCUGUUCAGUGCCGCAGGGAAGCCGUUAAGUCUGCCGCCUGGGGAGUACGGUCGCAAGACU
rnacentral:rRNA from 1 species